GGAGAGUUGUGUAUCUUUUUCAGUAUAAUAUAGCUGCCAUUAAGUAAAUUUUGUAAAAAGGAAAGUACAUAUGGAGAGAAAGUCAAAAAUCAUUAAAACAUUAUAACAUCUCAGAUUUGCUGGGCAAGUUAGCACACACCUUCAAUACCAGCAGCUCAGGAGGCUGAAGCAGGAGGAUUGCAAGUUUAAAGCCAGCCUUGGCAGAAGCAAGACACUAAGCAACUCAGUGAGACCCUGUGUCUAAAUAAAGUAAAAGACAAACUAGGGCUGGGGAUGUGGCUCAGUGGUUGAGUGGCCCUGAGUUCAAUCCCUGGUAUCCCCACCACCACCACCAAAAGAAAAAUUUCAGAGUUGAGCUUAUGGAAAGAUCCAGGAAAACAAGAUGUUGCUUCACUGUAAUACUGGACCCAGAGCCUUCAAGGCCCUACCCUUAUUCCUCCAGCGGAGUAGAAGUUUGCCGAAAAGCUACACAGUUCAAGCCGCACUACACACAUCUACCACCCCUGCCUGCUGCCCCCACACCUGCUGUGGGGGUGAGAAUAGGAAACAAAGCAACACUUCUGGGAAGCCUGCUGCCAAAUAAUACAGCAUUAGAACAGUCACUGACAAAAGGUCCAUUCCAAACCUUGCUAUUGUCCAGCCCCAAGUGCUGGCAGAAGCAGAAAACCUUGGCACCCAAGCUCCUGUCUGCACACCCUCCCUUCUGCUGGGCUAUUGCAAUUGGUGAGCUUGUCCUCUCACCUUUCUCCAUCAAAUAAUUGGAUUGGCAUCAGUUAUUCAGACCUGAAUUUCAGUGUGUGCGCACACAUGUGCCCCACACACUUUUCCUUUUAACUGUGACAAGGAAGUCAUUCCCCACCAAAGAAGUAUCAGAUAUCCUUGAGCACAAGUAGGUGGUUGAGUAUUUUCUGGAGACAGGUUUUCAUUGAAAAAGGGAGUGAGAUCCAGCAUUUCCACUUCUAGGUAUAUACUAAAAACUUGAAAUCAGUAUGUCAAAGAGGUAUCUUCAUACCUAUAUUCAUUGCAACAUUAUUCACAAGCUAAAUGUGUGUCAGUGGAUGAAAGGAUAAAGAAAUUCACACAUACAAUGGAAUAUUACUUUGCCUUGAAAAAAGUCUGUCCUUGCAACAACAUGGAUGGCCCUAGAAGACAUGUUAAAAGAAAUAAGCCAGUCAACAAAAGACAAAAGUCAUAUGUCCUCUUAUAUGUAAGAUCUAAAUCAAACUCAGAAACAGAGAAUAAUGGUAUUUAUCAGGAACUGGGGAAAGGAUAGAUGAAGGCAUUUUGAUUAGGUUGCAGUUAGGAAUAUGUUAAUUAGUUUGAUUCAAUCAUUCCCUCACUGAACCUAAUAAUUACAUACAAUCACAAUUUGUUGUAAAAUAAAAUACAUUUUUAGCAUAUUAUGAGAGAAUUAAUUCUUCAGAAAAUGUAAAUCUAAGUCAAUGGUGACUAGAAACGUUUUUUAAAAAAAAAAUCAAAAUAUUUUUAAAUCUU
rnacentral:lncRNA from 1 species